rnacentral:tRNA from 1 species
UCCACGGUAGCCAAGUGGCUAACAACUGCAGGCUUACGACCCGCACUGACGGGAUCCGCAGGCUUGAGUCCUGCCCGUGGAA